rnacentral:lncRNA from 1 species
CCGUCAGGAGGAAAUAGAGAGUAGUAGAGGGAGUGUGUUUGGGCCUAGCCCAGGGGUUAUAGUAAGUGCUGGGCCGUGUCGUUGGGCCUUGGAGUGUGAGAGCCUGUAAGUGGCCAGGAGGAUAUAACCUGGAGGUGUGCGUCUGUAAACGAUAGCUAUGAUGAAUUGAUUCAUUGCUCACUUUCUCUUCCAUCCCCUUUCCUCCUUCCUUCUUCCCUUUCCCCACGGAAACCUCACCUACUCGCUCCUACCUACCCCGAUGGCGAUCAGGAGAUCCCAGUACAUCACAGAUGGUAUUCAGAGCUUGGUCUGACCUGUUUGCGCUUCCCUAUUCUCUUGAUCUAGCUGGUAAAUCCUGUGGAAGGUUGCAGAACGCCCUCGGGUUUGAUCUGCGUAAAUCCAGAAGUGGGUUAGCGGAUUUGGGGUGGGAGCAGCAACAGCGCCGUCCAAGCCGAGUGUGCAAUCGAGGCAGGUGAUUUCGGCCAUGGAGGCGUUUGAGGAGAGAUUGAUGAAGGAAUUGGAGGCCCUCAAAUUUGUGCGGGACAAAAUUGAGGGGAUUGACGCAAUCUCGUUGCGGCUAGAGGAGAUCGAUAAGAAGAUGGAGGAACAAGCUGGCCGGAUCAACGCAGUACAAGCAAAGGUGAACCUCACGAUGAGCUCAAUCGCGGAUGUGCGCCAAGAGCAAGUUUCGGUGGCCAAGGGGGCCAAGGCGGCGCAGCAGACCGCCUCACCGCGCGACGCGACCGAGGCGUUGCUGCCCUCGCCACCUCCGCAUCCCCCGCCUCCGCCCUUACAAGUUCCCCGACCACGGCCGCAAACUGGAUCCUCAGCUCAACCGGAUACAGGACGUGUGGAGGGUCAGACCCCGGAGGGACAGUUGUCACGCAGGCCAUGGAUGCCGAAAAUGGACUUCCCACGAUUUGAAGGGGACGAUGUUCGCAUCUGGAUCGAUGGUUGUGAGUCAUUCUUCCUGCUCUAUGACAUCCCGGAGAACUUCAAGGUAACAUCAGCUACUCUGCACUUGGGAGGUGAUGCUACACAUUGGUAUCUCACAUACAAAUAGGAGGUGGGAUGGGUGGAAUGGCGUCAGUUCAAAGAGGCUGUCAUACAAGAGUUUGAUGCUCACUGUCACCGGGAUAAGAUGAAAGCGCUGCUGAUGUUGAAACAGGAAAGCACUAUAGAUGAAUACAAGAGAAAUUUCCUUCAGUUAGUCUAUCAGGUGCGGCUGUAUGACCCUGCUAUCAGUGAUACCUUCUUGGUCACACGGUUUAUUUUAGGAUUAAAAGAAGAAUUGCAUGGGGUAGUGGAGAUUCAGUUUCCACUCACAGUGGCAGCAGCUGCAGCAUUUGCAUCCGUUCAAGAGGGAACUCUGCUUCGAGCUUGGGCACCACGACAAUUUCCAAAAUCCAGUGUCACUAAACCUGAUAGCAAAGGGGGGCAAGCCUCCGGGGAUAUCUGGCGCGCACGACAACUGAAAGAGUACCGCCGUGCAAAUGGUCUCUGUUUUGGGUGUGGGGAGAAGUUUGCCCCAGGUCACAGUUGUGCUAAACCCGCGGCGGCUCAAGAAAAUGCCAUAGUUGGGACUGACACUGAUGCUGACCGAAUACCUGACACCGUGUUGGACGCCAUUGCUAUGCAGGAAGCAGUCAAAGAAGAGCUCAUGUUAUCUGUCAAUGCUCUCUCCGGUGCAGAUCAUCCCAAAACAAUUCGAUUGAGAGCAAUGGUGGGAAAUCAAGUUGUGAUUAUUCUCCUUGACUCCGACAGUACACAUAGUUUCAUUGAUGAAGGUAUCCUGGACAGAUUGAAACUGCAGCCACAAUCUCUGCAGACAGCUCUGUCAGUUAAAGUAGCUAAUGGGGAGGUGUUACCUUGUAAAGCUGAACUUCUAGAACUCACUUGGUGGAUACAGGGCAACACUUUAAGUUACCCACUGAAAGUGGUGGAGUUAGGAGGACAUGAUAUAAUCCUGGGAAUGGAUUGUCUCGAACAAUGGAGUCCUAUGACUUGCCAUUGGAAGGAAAAGUGGGUUCAAUUUCUCUACAAAGGCACAGAAAUAAAACUGAAGGGCAUUCAGACUCAGCAACCAACAGUGUUACAGAGAAUGUCAGUUGAUCAAGUGUUGAAAUGGGAGAAAGGAAAUGAUAUAUGGGCCACUGCUGUGCUUAUGCCUAAGGAAAGUCCAACUUCAGUAGCCCCUUAGGAACCUAUACAGCAGCUCAUUACUGAAUAUCAGGACAUAUUUCAAGAGCCCAAGACACUCCCUCCCCACAGGACUUUUGACCAUGCAAUCCAUCUUAUCCCUGAUGCUCAGCCAGUUAAUUCCAGGCCUUAUCGAUACUCACCUCUACAGAAAGAUGAGAUAGAGAGGCAAGUGGAGGAAAUGCUUAAAGCUGGACUAAUCACACCUAGCAUGAGUCCCUUUGCAUCCCCUGUUCUAUUGGUGAAAAAGAAGGAUGGUUCAUGGAGAUUUUGCACUGAUUAUAGAAAAUUAAAUGCUAUCACUAUGAAGAACAGAUUUCCUAUGCCAAUUGUAGAAGAAUUAUUGGAUGAGUUGGCUGGAACAACAUAUUUUUCCAAGAUAUAUCUAAAGGCCCGGUACCAUCAAAUUAGAAUGGUUCCUCAAGAUGAGUUCAAGACUGCCUUUAAGACACAUCUGGGACAAUACCAAUUUAAGGUCAUGCCUUUUGGUUUGGCAAUGGCCCUAUCCACAUUUCAGUGUGUCAUGAAUUAUCUGUUUGCACCGUAUAUUAGGAAGUUUGUGCUCGCCUUUAUGGAUGAUAUUCUAGUCUUCAGUCACACUCUAGAAGAGCAUAAGGAGCACUUAAAGGUGGUGUUUCAACUACUCAGGGAGCAUCAAUUUUAUGCAAAAGAAUCCAAAUGCUCCUUUGCUCAGUCUCAGUUGGAAUAUUUGGGCCAUAUCAUCUCUGACAAAGGGGUGGCCACAGACCCAGCCAAGACAGAGGCUAUGGUUAAGUGGCCAGUGCCAACUAACCCAACUGAGCUGCGAGGGUUCUUGGGGCUGACUGGUUACUAUAGAAAAUUUGUGAAGGGCUAUGGAGUGCUGGCCAGACCACUAACAACCUUGCUUCAGAAGAAAGCUUUUCAAUGGAGUGAGGAGGCCAACCUAGCUUUACAAGAUCUCAAGAAGGCCAUGACCUCUACUCCGGUGCUGCUUUUACCUGACUUCUCUAAACAAUUCACUAUAGAGACAGAUGAUUGUGCAACGGGCAUUGGAGCAGUGUUGGCUCAGGAGGGACACCCUAUAGCAUUUUACAGCAAGGCUUUGAGUGUGCGAAACCAGCAGCUCUCCAUUUAUGAGAAAGAAUUUUUGGCUAUCAUCAUGGCGGUGGAGAAAUGGAGAGCCUAUUUGAGCAGGGGGGCCUUUCAUUAUUAAGACGGAUCACCAGAGUCUUUGUCACCUGGGGAAUCAAGUGCUUUCAACUGAAUUGCAAACAAAAGCAAUGACAAAAUUGGUAGGAUUGGAAUUCAAAUUUCAGUAUAAGAAAGGAGUGGAGAAUGUGGUUGCUGAUGCUUUGUCCAGGGUGGGUCAUCUUAUGGCCACUCGAUUAAUUUCCCACACUCAGCCAGCAUGGAUGCAGGAAGUUUUAAAUUCAUAUACAAUGGACAAGGAAGCACAACAACUUCUGCAGAAAUUGGCCCUUUCCUCAGAGCCUCUGGAUGGCUACAGUCUGCAAGAGGGCAUUAUUCACUAUCAAGGAAGGAUUUGGCUAGGGGCCAAUACAACCCUCAAAACUAAAGUUAUUGCUAACUUUCACUCUAGUGCAGUAGGGGGACACUCUGGAAUUCAAGCAACUUAUCAGCGGGUCAAGAAACUGUUCUGCUGGACAAAUCUGAAACAAGAUGUUCAAGACUUUGUCAAACAAUGUGGAGUCUGUCAGCAAGCUAAGCAUGAACAUUGCAGAUCUCCGGGCUUGUUAAAUCCAUUGCCUGUGCCUCAGGGGCCUUGGCUAGACAUUACAAUGGAUUUCAUUGAGGGACUGCCUAAAUCAAAUGGUUACUCCUCUAUCCUCGUGGUGGUCGACAGGUUUACAAAAUACAGUCAUUUUAUCCCACUCAAGCAUCCAUUCACUGCUCCUGUAGUAGCAAGAGCAUUUCUGGAUCAAGUGGUCAAGCUACAUGGCCCUCCCAAAACUAUUAUCUCAGACAGAGACAAAAUCUUCACUAGUGUUUUCUGGAAAGAGUUUUUCAAAUUAUGGGGCACUAAACUCUUGAUGAGCACGACCUAUCACCCACAAACUGAUGGACAAAGUGAAAGGGUGAAUCUAGAAAUGUAUUUGAGAUGUGCUGUGCAUGAUCAACCUAGACAGUGGCAAUCUUGGCUUUCUGUGGCGGAAUUCUGGUAUAACACCAACCACCACACCUCUUUGGGUUGCUCUCCUUACAAAGCUCUCUAUGGACAUGAACCUCAUUAUGGUACAUUUCCUGUGACCUCCUCUUCUCCACACCCUGAUGUGCAGCAGUGGAUUUCUGAAAAUCAAGCACACUGUGAUCAGCUCAAAGAACAUCUCUUGAGAGCUCAGACCAGGAUCAAACAUUAUGCUGACCAACAAAGAAGUGAAAGAGAGUUUCAGGUUGGCGACAAGGUGUACCUCAAGUUACAACCCUAUGCUCAACAUUCAGUGGCCAACAGGCCUUGUCCAAAAUUGGCCCUCAAGUUCUUUGGUCCUUUUGAAAUCCUGGAAAGAAUUGGACCAGCUGCAUACAAAUUGCAGCUACCCGAUGAAGCUGUGAUUCACCCAGUAUUCCAUGUCUCUCAACUAAAAGAGCAUGUACCUGACCACACCCCGGUCUUCCAUACAGUACCAACUCAGGUGGAUUUGUCUGGUUCAGACCUGCAACCUGAAGAAAUUCUCGACAAGCGAUUGGUUAAAAAGGGCAACAAUGCCCACUUGCAGAUUUUGGUGCAAUGGUCUGCAUUGCCAGCAUCAGCGGCAACUUGGGAAGAUUAUGAUGCCUUGCGUCUGCAUUAUCCAGCGGCACCAGCUUGGGGACAAGCUGGUUCUUCAGGAGGAGCACCUAUCAGCACCAUGGCUUCAACUACCGCGGGCAUGCCGUCAGGAGGAAAUACAGAGUAGUAGAGGGAGUGUGUUUGGGCCUAGCCCAGGGGUUAUAGCAAGUGCUGGGCCGUGUCGUUGGGCCUUGGAGUGUGAGAGCCUGUAAGUGGCCAGGAGGAUAUAACCUGGAGGUGUGCGUCUGUAAACGAUAGCUAUGAUGAAUUGAUUCAUUGCUCACUUUCUCUUCCAUCCCCUUUCCUCCUUCCUUCUUCCCCUUCCCCACGGAAACCUCACCUACUCGCUCCUACCUACCCCGAUGGCGAUCGGG